UACAGAGGUCUCAAGCGUUGUUCGGAUUCAUUGGGCGUAAAGCGCACGUAGGCGGCCCUGUAAGUCCGUUGUGAAAGUCAAAGGCUCAACCUUUGAAUGCCGAUGGAUACUGCAGGGCUAGAGUCCGGAAGAGGCGAGUGGAAUUCCUGGUGUAGCGGUGGAAUGCGCAGAUAUCAGGAGGAACACCAAUAGCGAAGGCAGCUCGCUGGGACGGUACUGACGCUAAGGUGCGAAAGCGUGGGGAGCGAACAGG
rnacentral:rRNA from 1 species